rnacentral:ncRNA from 1 species
GAUGAGAGACAGGGGCGCCCUGGUGGGCUGAGAAGCACCCUUUGAACCUGAACCGGAUAAUGCCGGCGGAGGGAGUCGCUCGGGACUGUCG